rnacentral:rRNA from 1 species
CGGUGGAGUAUGUGGUUUAAUUCGAUGCAACGCGAAGAACCUUACCUGGUCUUGACAUCCCGGAGACCCUUAGGAAACUAGGGGGUGCUUCCAUCUGGAAGAAUCUGGAGACAGGUGCUGCAUGGCUGUCGUCAGCUCGUGUCGUGAGAUGUUGGGUUAAGUCCCGCAACGAGUGCAACCCUUGCCUUUAGUUGCCAGCAGUUCGGCUGGGCACUCUAAAGGGACUGCCGGUGUUAAACCGGAGGAAGGUGGGGAUGACGUCAAGUCCUCAUGGCCUUUAUGACCAGGGCUACACACGUACUACAAUGGCCGAUACAAAGGGCAGCGACACUGCGAGGUGAAGCCAAUCCCGUAAAAUCGGUCUCAGUCCGGAUUGGAGUCUGCAACUCGACUCCAUGAAGUUGGAAUCGCUAGUAAUCGUGGAUCAGCAUGCCACGGUGAAUACGUUCCCGGGCCUU